rnacentral:rRNA from 1 species
UUGGAGGGCAAGUCUGGUGCCAGCAGCCGCGGUAAUUCCAGCUCCAAUAGCGUAUAUUAAAGUUGUUGCAGUUAAAAAGCUCGUAGUUGAACUUCGGGAUCAAUGGAUUGGUCAUGCCGUUGGUAUGAACUGGUCAUAUUGGUUCUCACCUUCUAAGGAACCAUAAUGUCAUUAAUUUGAUGUUUUGGGGAAUUAGGACUGUUACCUUGAAAAAAUUAGAGUGUUUAAAGCAGGCUAACGCUUGAAUACAUUAGCAUGGAAUAAUGAAAUAGGACAUCGCAUUCUAUUUUGUUGGUUUCUAGGAUCGAUGUAAUGAUUAAUAGGGAUAGUUGGG